rnacentral:rRNA from 1 species
GACGAACGCUGGCGGCGUGCUUAACACAUGCAAGUCGAACGGAAAGGCCCUGCUUUUGUGGGGUGCUCGAGUGGCGAACGGGUGAGUAACACGUGAGUAACCUGCCCUUGACUUUGGGAUAACUUCAGGAAACUGGGGCUAAUACCGGAUAGGAGCUCCUGCUGCAUGGUGGGGGUUGGAAAGUUUCGGCGGUUGGGGAUGGACUCGCGGCUUAUCAGCUUGUUGGUGGGGUAGUGGCUUACCAAGGCUUUGACGGGUAGCCGGCCUGAGAGGGUGACCGGCCACAUUGGGACUGAGAUACGGCCCAGACUCCUACGGGAGGCAGCAGUGGGGAAGAUUGCACAAUGGGCGGAAGCCUGAUGCAGCAACGCCGCGUGCGGGAUGACGGCCUUCGGGUUGUAAACCGCUUUCGCCUGUGACGAAGCGUGAGUGACGGUAAUGGGUAAAGAAGCACAGGCUAACUACGUG